rnacentral:rRNA from 1 species
GGGUUGUGAGGUUAAGCGACUAAGCGUACACGGUGGAUGCCCUGGCAGUCAGAGGCGAUGAAGGACGUGCUAAUCUGCGAUAAGCGUCGGUAAGGUGAUAUGAACCGUUAUAACCGGCGAUUUCCGAAUGGGGAAACCCAGUGUGUUUCGACACACUAUCAUUAACUGAAUCCAUAGGUUAAUGAGGCGAACCGGGGGAACUGAAACAUCUAAGUACCCCGAGGAAAAGAAAUCAACCGAGAUUCCCCCAGUAGCGGCGAGCGAACGGGGAGGAGCCCAGAGCCUGAAUCAGUGUGUGUGUUAGUGGAAGCGUCUGGAAAGGCGCGCGAUACAGGGUGACAGCCCCGUACACAAAAAUACACAUAUUGUGAGCUCGAUGAGUAGGGCGGGACACGUGGUAUCCUGUCUGAAUAUGGGGGGACCAUCCUCCAAGGCUAAAUACUCCUGACUGACCGAUAGUGAACCAGUACCGUGAGGGAAAGGCGAAAAGAACCCCGGCGAGGGGAGUGAAAAAGAACCUGAAACCGUGUACGUACAAGCAGUGGGAGCACGCUUAGGCGUGUGACUGCGUACCUUUUGUAUAAUGGGUCAGCGACUUAUAUUCUGUAGCAAGGUUAACCGAAUAGGGGAGCCGAAGGGAAACCGAGUCUUAACUGGGCGUUAAGUUGCAGGGUAUAGACCCGAAACCCGGUGAUCUAGCCAUGGGCAGGUUGAAGGUUGGGUAACACUAACUGGAGGACCGAACCGACUAAUGUUGAAAAAUUAGCGGAUGACUUGUGGCUGGGGGUGAAAGGCCAAUCAAACCGGGAGAUAGCUGGUUCUCCCCGAAAGCUAUUUAGGUAGCGCCUCGUGAAUUCAUCUCCGGGGGUAGAGCACUGUUUCGGCAAGGGGGUCAUCCCGACUUACCAACCCGAUGCAAACUGCGAAUACCGGAGAAUGUUAUCACGGGAGACACACGGCGGGUGCUAACGUCCGUCGUGAAGAGGGAAACAACCCAGACCGCCAGCUAAGGUCCCAAAGUCAUGGUUAAGUGGGAAACGAUGUGGGAAGGCCCAGACAGCCAGGAUGUUGGCUUAGAAGCAGCCAUCAUUUAAAGAAAGCGUAAUAGCUCACUGGUCGAGUCGGCCUGCGCGGAAGAUGUAACGGGGCUAAACCAUGCACCGAAGCUGCGGCAGCGACGCUUAUGCGUUGUUGGGUAGGGGAGCGUUCUGUAAGCCUGCGAAGGUGUGCUGUGAGGCAUGCUGGAGGUAUCAGAAGUGCGAAUGCUGACAUAAGUAACGAUAAAGCGGGUGAAAAGCCCGCUCGCCGGAAGACCAAGGGUUCCUGUCCAACGUUAAUCGGGGCAGGGUGAGUCGACCCCUAAGGCGAGGCCGAAAGGCGUAGUCGAUGGGAAACAGGUUAAUAUUCCUGUACUUGGUGUUACUGCGAAGGGGGGACGGAGAAGGCUAUGUUGGCCGGGCGACGGUUGUCCCGGUUUAAGCGUGUAGGCUGGUUUUCCAGGCAAAUCCGGAAAAUCAAGGCUGAGGCGUGAUGACGAGGCACUACGGUGCUGAAGCAACAAAUGCCCUGCUUCCAGGAAAAGCCUCUAAGCAUCAGGUAACAUCAAAUCGUACCCCAAACCGACACAGGUGGUCAGGUAGAGAAUACCAAGGCGCUUGAGAGAACUCGGGUGAAGGAACUAGGCAAAAUGGUGCCGUAACUUCGGGAGAAGGCACGCUGAUAUGUAGGUGAAGUCCCUUGCGGAUGGAGCUGAAAUCAGUCGAAGAUACCAGCUGGCUGCAACUGUUUAUUAAAAACACAGCACUGUGCAAACACGAAAGUGGACGUAUACGGUGUGACGCCUGCCCGGUGCCGGAAGGUUAAUUGAUGGGGUCAGCGCAAGCGAAGCUCUUGAUCGAAGCCCCGGUAAACGGCGGCCGUAACUAUAACGGUCCUAAGGUAGCGAAAUUCCUUGUCGGGUAAGUUCCGACCUGCACGAAUGGCGUAAUGAUGGCCAGGCUGUCUCCACCCGAGACUCAGUGAAAUUGAACUCGCUGUGAAGAUGCAGUGUACCCGCGGCAAGACGGAAAGACCCCGUGAACCUUUACUAUAGCUUGACACUGAACAUUGAGCCUUGAUGUGUAGGAUAGGUGGGAGGCUUUGAAGUGUGGACGCCAGUCUGCAUGGAGCCGGCCUUGAAAUACCACCCUUUAAUGUUUGAUGUUCUAACGUGGACCCGUGAUCCGGGUUGCGGACAGUGUCUGGUGGGUAGUUUGACUGGGGCGGUCUCCUCCUAAAGAGUAACGGAGGAGCACGAAGGUUGGCUAAUCCUGGUCGGACAUCAGGAGGUUAGUGCAAUGGCAUAAGCCAGCUUGACUGCGAGCGUGACGGCGCGAGCAGGUGCGAAAGCAGGUCAUAGUGAUCCGGUGGUUCUGAAUGGAAGGGCCAUCGCUCAACGGAUAAAAGGUACUCCGGGGAUAACAGGCUGAUACCGCCCAAGAGUUCAUAUCGACGGCGGUGUUUGGCACCUCGAUGUCGGCUCAUCACAUCCUGGGGCUGAAGUAGGUCCCAAGGGUAUGGCUGUUCGCCAUUUAAAGUGGUACGCGAGCUGGGUUUAGAACGUCGUGAGACAGUUCGGUCCCUAUCUGCCGUGGGCGCUGGAGAACUGAGGGGGGCUGCUCCUAGUACGAGAGGACCGGAGUGGACGCAUCACUGGUGUUCGGGUUGUCAUGCCAAUGGCACUGCCCGGUAGCUAAAUGCGGAAGAGAUAAGUGCUGAAAGCAUCUAAGCACGAAACUUGCCCCGAGAUGAGUUCUCCCUGACCCUUUAAGGGUCCUGAAGGAACGUUGAAGACGACGACGUUGAUAGGCCGGGUGUGUAAGCGCAGCGAUGCGUUGAGCUAACCGGUACUAAUGAACCGUGAGGCUUAACCUUACAACGCCGAAGGUGUUU